UACAGAGGUGGCAAGCGUUGUUCAGAAUUACUGGGCGUAAAGGGCGCGUAGGCGGCCAUCUAAGUCAGACGUGAAAUCCCCCGGCUUAACCUGGGAACUGCGUCUGAUACUGGACGGCUUGAGUAUGGGAGAGGGAUGUAGAAUUCCAGGUGUAGCGGUGAAAUGCGUAGAUAUCUGGAGGAAUACCGGUGGCGAAGGCGGCAUCCUGGACCAUUACUGACGCUGAGGCGCGAAAGCUAGGGGAGCAAACAGG
rnacentral:rRNA from 1 species